UGGGGAAUUUUGCACAAUGGGGGAAACCCUGAUGCAGCGACGCCUCGUGAUUUAGAAGGCCUUCGGGUUGUAACAAUCUUUUCUAUGGGAAGAAAAUGACAGUACCAUAGGAAUAAGGACCGGCUAAUUACGUGCCAGCAGCCGCGGUAAUACGUAAGGUCCGAGCGUUGUCCGGAAUCAUUGGGCGUAAAGGGUACGUAGGCGGGUAAGCAAGUUAGAAGUGAAAUCCUAUAGCUCAACUAUAGUAAGCUUUUAAAACUGCUCAUCUUGGGGUAUGGAAGGGAAAGUGGAAUUCCUAGUGUAGCGGUGAAAUGCGCAGAUAUUAGGAGGAAUACCGGUGGCGAAGGCGACUUUCUGGCCAUAACCUGACGCUGAGGUACGAAAGCGUGGGUAGCAAACAGG
rnacentral:rRNA from 1 species